rnacentral:rRNA from 1 species
UGUGUAGGCGGAUUUAUAAGUCAGUGGUGAAAUCCUACAGCUUAACUGUAGAACUGCCAUUGAUACUGUAGAUCUUGAGUACGGUUGAGGUGGGCGGAAUGUGUCAUGUAGCGGUGAAAUGCUUAGAUAUGACACAGAACACCAAUUGCGAAGGCAGCUCGCUAAACCGUAACUGACGCUGAGGCACGAAAGCGUGGGGAGCGAACAGGAUUAGAUACCCUGGUAGUCC